GACGAACGCUGGCGGCGUGCUUAACACAUGCAAGUCGAACGGAAAGGCCCUGCUUGCAGGGUAUUCGAGUGGCGAACGGGUGAGUAACACGUGGGUGAUCUGCCCUGCACUUCGGGAUAAGCCUGGGAAACUGGGUCUAAUACCGGAUAGGAGCCAUUUUUAGUGUGAUGGUUGGAAAGUUUUUUCGGUGUAGGAUGAGCUCGCGGCCUAUCAGCUUGUUGGUGGGGUAAUGGCCUACCAAGGCGGCGACGGGUAGCCGGCCUGAGAGGGUGGACGGCCACAUUGGGACUGAGAUACGGCCCAGACUCCUACGGGAGGCAGCAGUGGGGAAUAUUGCACAAUGGGCGCAAGCCUGAUGCAGCGACGCCGCGGGGGGGAUGACGGCCUUCGGGUUGUAAACUCCUUUCGCUAGGGACGAAGCUUUUUGUGACGGUACCUAGAUAAGAAGCACCGGCUAACUACGUG
rnacentral:rRNA from 1 species